rfam:Eubacterium sp. CAG:581 genomic scaffold, scf65
UGGACUGUAUUCUUAUGAAAUAGUACCACAUACAAUGUUUUUUAAUAUCCUUUUAUAGCUUAUAUCCGUAAGGAAUGGGACUUUGGG